GACGUAGGGCGCGAGCGUUGUCCGGAUUUAUUGGGCGUAAAGAGCUCGUAGGCGGCUUGUUGCGUCGACUGUGAAAACCUGCGGCUCAGCCGUGUGGUCUGCAGUCGAUACGGGCAGGCUGGAGUUCGGUAGGGGAGACUGGAAUUCCUGGUGUAGCGGUGAAAUGCGCAGAUAUCAGGAGGAACACCGGUGGCGAAGGCGGGUCUCUGGGCCGAUACUGACGCUGAGGAGCGAAAGCGUGGGGAGCGAACAGG
rnacentral:rRNA from 1 species